UGAGUACGAGAUGCUACGGCAUCGAAGCAGUCUAUGUCAUACUUCCAAGAAAAGCUUGCACUGUCAUAAACAAAGAAUGCCUGUACCAUAACCGACACAGGUGGGUAGGUAGAGUAUACUAAGGGGCGCGAGAUAACUCUCUCUAAGGAACUCGGCAAAAUGACUCCGUAACUUCGGGAGAAGGAGUGCCUUAUUUCUAAGGUUGCAAUAACAAGAUCCAAGCAACUGUCUACCAAAAACACAGGUCUCCGCUAAGUCGUAAGACGAUGUAUGGGGGCUGACGCCUGCCCAGUGCCAGAAGGUUAAAGAAGUUGGUUAGCAUUAGCGAAGCUGAUAACUGAAGCCCUGGUGAACGGCGGCCGUAACAAUAACGGUCCUAAGGUAGCGAAAUUCCUUGUCGGGUAAGUUCCGACCCGCACGAAAGGCGUAAUGAUUUGGAUACUGUCUCGGAGAGGGGCUCGGUGAAAUAGACUUGUCUGUGAAGAUGCGGACUACCUGCACCUGGACAGAAAGACCCUAUGAAGCUUUACUGUAACUUGAGAUUGAAAUUGGACCUUAUUUGCGCAGUAUAGGUGGUAGGCGUUGAGAAUAAUCUUGCGGGAUUGUUGGAGCCAUCAGUGAGAUACCACUCUUGUAAUGUUAGAUUUCUAACUUUGUAUCAUUAUCUGGUCAAAGAACAGUUUCAGGCGGGCAGUUUGACUGGGGCGGUCGCCUCCCAAAGGGUAACGGAGGCGCACAAAGGUUUCCUCUGAACGGGUAGAAAUCGUAUCUAGAGUGUAAAGGCAUAAGGAAGCUUGACUGUGAGACCUACAAGUCGAGCAGGGACGAAAGUCGGUCUUAGUGAUCUGACGGUGCUGAGUGGAAAGGCCGUCACUCAACGGAUAAAAGUUACUCUAAGGAUAACAGGCUGAUCUCCCCCAAGAGUUCACAUCGACGGGGAGGUUUGGCACCUCGAUGUCGGCUCAUCGCAUCCUGGGGCGGUAGUCCGUCCCAAGGGUUGGGCUGUUCGCCCAUGAAAGCGGUACGCGAGCUGGGUUCAGAACGUCGUGAGACAGUUCGGUCCAUAUCCGGUGUAGGCGUUAGAAUAUUGAGAGGAGCCUUCUCUAGUACGAGAGGACCGAGAAGGACAUACCUCUGGUGUACCAGUUAUCGUGCCAACGGUAAACGCUGGGUAGCUAUGUAUGGAGUGGAUAACCGCUGAAAGCAUCUAAGUGGGAAGCCCACCUCAAGAUAAGUAUUCUCA
rnacentral:rRNA from 1 species